UUGGCGAUGUUUUUGGUUGGAAUGUAGUGUUAGCUUUAGACACUAAACGCUGCCACAAAUAACCUGUCAGUUAUUUCUCUCAAAAACAAU
rfam:Candidatus Pelagibacter sp. HIMB1321 genome assembly, chromosome: I